CCCUAGAUGUUCUGGGCCGCACGCGUGCUACACUGAGUGGAUCAGCGGGUCAGGUUGCGCGAAAGCGUUUCCUAAUCUUUAAAUCCGCUCGUGAUGGGGAUUGACGGUUGCAAUUUUCUGUCAUGAACGAGGAAUACCUUGUAAGCGCGGGUCAUCAUCCCGCGCUGAAUACGUCCCUGCCCUUUGUACACACCGCCCGUCGCUCCUACCGAUUGAGUGGUCCGGUGAGGCUUUGGGAUCUGAGCGGAAAGAGCGUUUCGCUGUUUCUGCUCGGAAAACUCAGUCGAACCUUAUCAUUUAGAGGAAGGAGAAGUCGUAACA
rnacentral:rRNA from 1 species